CUUCAUGAUUCAGACCUUGUGAGUGGCGACGGUGAGUAACACGUGGUAACCUGCCCAGAAUGGGGGAUAACAUUUGGAAACAAGUGCUAAUACCGCAUAACAACUUAGAUCACAUGAUCUUUGUUUAAAGGAUGGUUUUGCUAUCUCUUCUGGAUGGACCCGCGGCGUAUUAGCUAGUUGGUGAGGUAAUAGCUCACCAAGGCGAUGAUACGUAGCCGACCUGAGAGGGUAAUCGGCCACAUUGGGACUGAGACACGGCCCAAACUCC
rnacentral:rRNA from 1 species